rnacentral:rRNA from 1 species
GACGAACGCUGGCGGCGUGCUUAACACAUGCAAGUCGAACGGAAAGGCCUGCUUUCCCUUGUGGAUUGCGGGUACUCGAGUGGCGAACGGGUGAGUAACACGUGAGUGAUCUGCCCCCAACUUGGGUAUAAGCCUGGGAAACUGGGUCUAAUUCCCGACAGGACUGCAGGGUGGUGCCUGUGGUGGAAAACGAUUUUCUAGUGGUUGGGGAUGAGCGCGCGGCCUAUCAGCUUGUUGGUGGGGUAAUGGCCUACCAAGGCGGCGACGGGUAGCCGGCCUGGGAGAGUGGACGGCCAAAUUGGGACUGGGACACGGCCCAGACUCCUACGGGAGGCAGCAGUGGGGAAUAUUGCACGAGGGGCGGAAGCCUGAUGCAGCGACGCCGCGGGGGGGAUGACGGGCUUUGGGUUGUAAACUCCUUUCGACCGCGAGGAAGCCACCUGGUUGGAAGGGUGGUGACGGUAGUGGUAGAAGAAGCACCGGCUAACUACGUG